UACGUAGGGGGCAAGCGUUGUCCGGAAUCAUUGGGCGUAAAGCGCGUGUAGGCGGCUUGGUAAGUCCGCUCUGAAAGCCCGGGGCUCAACCCCGGGAGGCGGGUGGAUACUGUCAAGCUCGAGUCCGGAAGAGGCGAGUGGAAUUCCUGGUGUAGCGGUGAAUGCGCAGAUAUCAGGAGGAACACCGGUGGCGAAGGCGGGUCUCUGGGCCGAUGACUGACGCUGGAGACGCGAAAGCGUGGGAGCGAACAGG
rnacentral:rRNA from 1 species